AGCGAACGCUGGCGGCAGGCCUAACACAUGCAAGUCGAACGCAGCCUUAGGGCUUAGUGGCGGACGGGUGAGUAACACGUGGGAACGUACCUUUUGGUUCGGAACAACUCAGGGAAACUUGAGCUAAUAACGGAUGAGCCGCUAGAGGGAAAGAUUUAUCGCCGAGAGAGCGGCCCGCGUCUGAUUAGCUAGUUGGUGGGGUAAUGGCCCACCAAGGCGACGAUCAGUAGCUGGUCUGAGAGGAUGAUCAGCCACAUUGGGACUGAGACACGGCCCAAACUCCUACGGGAGGCAGCAGUGGGGAAUCUUGCGCAAUGGGCGAAAGCCUGACGCAGCCAUGCCGCGUGAAUGAUGAAGGUCUUAGGAUUGUAAAAUUCUUUCACCGGGGACGAUAAUGACGGUAUCCGGAGAAGAAGCCCCGGCUAACUUCGUGCCAGCCGCCGCAGUAAAAC
rnacentral:rRNA from 1 species